rnacentral:misc_RNA from 1 species
GAAAUCUAUGGUUCUGAAGUA